AGAACGAACGCUGGCGGCAGGCUUAACACAUGCAAGUCGAGCGCUCGCAGCAAUGCGAGAGCGGCAGACGGGUGAGUAACGCGUGGGAACAUACCCUCCGGUUCGGAAUAGCUCAGGGAAACUUGGAUUAAUACCGGAUACGGCUUAGCGGCGAAAGAUUCAUCGCCGGAGGAUUGGCCCGCGUUCGAUUAGCUAGUUGGCGGGGUAAUGGCCCACCAAGGCGACGAUCGAUAGCUGGUCUGAGAGGAUGAUCAGCCACAUUGGGACUGAGACACGGCCCAAAACUCCUACGGGAGGCAGCAGUGGGGAAUAUUGGACAAUGGGCGCAAGCCUGAUCCAGCCAUGCCGCGUGAGUGAUGACGGCCUUAGGGUUGUAAAGCUCUUUCGCUAGGGACGAUAAUGACGUACUAGACAAGAAGCCCCGGCUAACUUCGUGCCAGCAGCCGC
rnacentral:rRNA from 1 species